UACAGAGGGUGCAAGCGUUGUUCGGAAUCAUUGGGCGUAAAGGGCGUGUAGGCGGUUUGUUAAGUCAUGUGUGAAAUCCCUCGGCUCAACCGGGGAACGACGCAUGAAACUGACAAGCUAGAGUACCAAAGAGGGGGGUGGAAUUCCCGGUGUAGAGGUGAAAUGCGUAGAUGUCGGGAGGAACACCAAUGGCGAAGGCGGCAUCCUGGACCGACACUGACGCUGAGGCGCGAAAGCUAGGGGAGCAAACGGG
rnacentral:rRNA from 1 species